GUGGCGCACGGGUGAGUAACACGUGGAUAAUCUUCCCUCGGGCGGGGGGAUAACAUUCCGAAAGGAGUGCUAAUACCGCAUAAGACCACGAGCUCGAAAGAGCUUGAGGUAAAAGCAGGCCUCUAUAUAUAAGCUUGCACCUGAGGAUGAGUCCGCGGCCCAUCAGCUAGUUGGUAGGUAAAGCCUACCAAGGCUAAGACGGGUAGCUGGUCUGAGAGGAUGAUCAGCCACACUGGAACUGAGACACGGUCCAGACUCCUACGGGAGGCAGCAGUGGGGAAUCUUGCGCAAUGGGCGAAAGCCUGACGCAGCGACGCCGCGUGAGUGAUGAAGGCCUUCGGGUUGUAAAGCUCUGUGGGGAGAGACGAAUAAGUGCAGGCUAAUACUCUGCAUGAUGACGGUAUCUCCUUAGCAAGCACCGGCUAACUCUGUGCCAGCAGCCGCGGUAA
rnacentral:rRNA from 1 species